rnacentral:misc_RNA from 1 species
GUUUGUCCGCUGUACUGGCGCAACGUGUGAUUGGGGUUCAUGGCGUCGCGCUGCGGCGAUAGGGCAUUUUGUAAAUGCGAUUGAUGCGGAGAAAUCAGUAAUGUGUGCGGGCGGAUGAUUUCGAGCCUUACACGUUUUCUGCGACGGAUAACUUGCGAAGUAACGGAGAAGUAUCUGCAGCGGAGACAUCUACGGCGCUAAACAUGCCGAUCAUCUGUGAUAAAACUGAAGCUGAAGUCGAGGGUCCACUGAAAGACCUGGAGACCCUGGCAAUGGAAGAGCUGGGUGAAACCCCGGAAGUGAAACAAAGAUGUUUGGCAGAGUUACGACAGCUUCUUGAAGGAGAAGACAACCUGCGAGUGCCUCAAGACGACGCAUUCCUGCUCAUGUUCCUUCGAGCCCGCAAAUACCGAGUGAACGACGCACUCAAAAGACUGAAAAACUACUUCCGCGUUCGCAAGCAAAUGCCUGAGUAUUUUGAAGAUCUAACACCAUCUAGCGUCCCAUACCAGACAGUAUUUUAUGACCACAAGCUCAUUUUGUCGUCGAAAAAGAGAGAUCCACUGCGCAGAGCUAUAGGGAUUCACUCCCUGUCCGCAUCAAGGGGCUUUAUUUUGUGAACACUCCAGCUAUCUUCACUUUUGUUUAUUCUCUCAUCAAGUCACUUAUGUCUGCAAAAUUAAGGAAAAGGCUGCGACUACUUGGGAGUGACUUUUCUACUCUUGGCGACAUCCUUCCUUCAGAAUUUAUACCCAAAGAGUAUGGCGGAGAGCGGGAGGACUUUGAUUACGAAAGCCAAGAGACAUUUUUCCAGAGUAAGACGAGCCAUUUUGAGCAAAUGCGUCAAUUUGGCUACUCGUCAGCUAAAUAAAGGAUACGGCUGUCACAUAAGAAACGGCUUUCUUGCGACGGAUGUUCCUAUACUCCCAUCUCAAGUUCGCAUUUUUAAAUAAAUAGCAAGCUGACGCUGCCGGCUUCACUGCCACU